rnacentral:snoRNA from 1 species
UAUUAUGAUGAGCAACUCUAUGCAUUGCAUAGCUGGAAAUUACCGUCCAAGGCAACUGCCGUUGACGAAAAACACAAGGCUGUUUCUGAUC